AAGCCCUUUUCUUUUCCCUGUUCUUCCACUUUUUCUUUCUUUUCAUCAUAUUUCUUCUACUGAUUUCCAAGACCAACUUGAAGAAGAUAGUCUUUUGGUUCAAGCAGUUCACUGUCUAAUUUGGAGAAGUAAUUGGCUUCCAUCAAGUUUGGCAUUUUUGCAUAGGAGCAAGCCUUUGGUGUAAGUUGUGGCAUCGUUGCCUUUCAUUUUUGUGAAUUUGCCGUGGUUGAGAAAUACUUGUUUUAUCUAAGAGUUCACUUGAGAUUGCUGCCAGUAAGAAAUAUAAAGCGCUCUACUUUAGGAACGCCGGGCCUAAGUGGCACCCCACCAUCUCGGUGGCAAUCCGGAAGAUCGUUGCGGCAACGAUGGCUGAGUACGAAGAGAAAUUGCAGCUGUAAGCCGGGCAGAGCUUACGGAAAGAUGUUAGCGCUUGAAAGUUAGUAUUUCGUAAGCUUAUGAUAUCGUAUAUCACAGGGGUAUCUGGGUAGUUAGUUUUUGUUUUAGUCCCAUAUCAUUUUGCUUUAUUUUGUUGUUGGGAACUUGUACAGAAUCUCGGUGGUUUGUAAAUGAAACUUGGUGGUGUAAUGAACGGGAGGUCUGACCUUUAGGUGUCUAAAGAACCAAUUACAUCACUCAUUUUGCCGUCAAAUCUGAAAAUGUGCAUGUUCUGUUUACAUAUUGCUACCUCUUCAGUUUUUCUAUCUUAAGAAAUUGCUAUUUAAAUUAAUGUAAGACUAGUUAGUGAGGUUAAAUGCUAGUAUCUUGUUGUUUGAAACUAUAGAUCUUGUGCCACUUAGUUGUUCUGAAUGCUAAACCUUGCUUUGGUAAUUUGUGAGCUUCAUUUGUAAAACCAUCUGUUUAUUUUAUUGCAUGGUGCAUUUACCAUAUUUUCUGUC